rnacentral:lncRNA from 1 species
UUUUGUUUCAGCCCGUUGGCUAUUUUUUGCAUUUCGCGCAUGUUUUCCGGUUUCAAAUGCCCUACAGUCCUUUCCCAAUCCUCCGCUUUGUUUACCCAUGAUGAUAGCGGGCGCCCAUAGAAGUACAAGGCUGACAACGCUACCCUUUUCUGGAAACUGAAGGAAAAACAAAAACUAAAAUUGUAAAACUAAAAGAGGAAACCGGCCUUAGCAAAUCCAGAUUUUACCUUUUCCCAAACCUUCGUUUCAAGAGUGUUUUUUCCCGAAGUGAAGGAUUACCCAAGUGCGGCCGAAGAAAGCAUUGAAAAGGGGUGGACCUAAAUUUCCCCCUUGCAAAACAGAUUCGUAGUUUUAAAAAAACUUGAAAAACGUAAGAAUGAAUUCGCAGUCAUCGGACACCCCAUUUACUGGGCUGUUUAAUGCCGCAACGAGCAGAAAUCCUUCUGGUGGGAACAACCCAGCGCUACGAGACAAAAACAUGCUUUCACAAGGAUCUGCUACCAAUUCCAACCGAACCUUGGUGGAAAUACCAAAGCAAAGCAAAGUGCGGGCCAUUCUCCGGCAUUAUCGCCAAUGUCGUCAUCAUCCAGCAAUUUUCAUGGCUUUUCAGGUACUUCCUGACACAACACUGAAUAAAACAGAAUGUACGGAAGGAAUGUUUAUAGUUUUAUAGAGAAUUAUAGUUGUUUGUUUAUAGUAAAAAAUAAUUUUCUUAAUUAGGUGCAAAAGUUGGUAAGCGGAGAAGUGGCAAAUUUAUUUCACAAUUUAUUUGAGAAGUGUAUUUUACUGUUAUAUCAAACAAGGGAAAAUCCAAAUGAUUUAAUUCGUCUAUACACAACCGAGAAAGUCAAAUAAACUGCCGAACACGAUUUAUCGUUAUCGAACUGUUAGAAAAUAAUUCCAGUCUACUUGCGGCCGUUGCGACUCUGGAAAAAAUAUCACUAUGGAUAUUCCAUUUGCUAUUAUCUUCAUGCAAUGACCUUAAGAUAACAGAAAAAAGUCAACAAACAUGGGACUGAAUGUCGACAAUUUUAAAUGUGAAGUGCUUGAGAACAACGCCAUUAAAUAAAUAAUAGCAAGAAUAUAAAGUGUUUAAGUAAAAUUCCGCAACAGUUUGCUCUGGUUAAAGACGAUUCAUCUUCUAAUAAUCCAAAUAUCAAGAAGUACAGCACAAAACGUCUAUCUAUACCAAAGGAAAUGUUUCUUUAAUUCCAGACGCAUUUUCCUUCCACGGAAACAAGUGUGGAUUUCGAGACCUCCCCGACGAUUUGCUUCAUUCACUAGAUUUACUAAUGUUUGGAGGUCUUCCAGAUGUUCUGCCAGAAUGGCUGAAUCGUCAGCGUAUCUAAUUUGUUGAUUGUUUCUCCGCCGAGUCUUACACCCUCUUGUGUGAGCUUCCUUGAAUAUUUCUUCCGAGUAUAGGUUAAAAAGGCUCGGCGACAGAACACAGCCCUAUCGUACCCCACGUUUAAUGGGCAGUUUUUGAGGAUGAUUGUCUUCAAUUUGGACGGAAGCUACUUGGUUGUAGUACAG